rnacentral:rRNA from 1 species
CGUGUAGGCGGCCAUGCAAGUCGGGUGUGAAAGCCCUCGGCUUAACCGAGGAAGUGCGCCCGAAACUACAUGGCUUGAGUACCGGAGAGGGUGGCGGAAUUCCCGGUGUAGAGGUGAAAUUCGUAGAUAUCGGGAGGAACACCAGCGGCGAAGGCGGCCACCUGGACGGAUACUGACGCUGAGACGCGAAAGCGUGGGGAGCAAACAGGAUUAGAUACCCUGGUAGUCCACGCCGUAAACGAUGAGCGCUAGGUGUUGUGGGUGUUGACCCCUGCAGUGCCGCAGCUAACGCAUUAAGCGCUCCGCCUGGGAAGUACGGCCGCAAGGCUAAA